rnacentral:miRNA from 1 species
UCGCUCUGAUACCAAUAUGAUG